GCCUCGCUAAACGAUGCACACCUGUAACUCACGUGACCCUGAUUAUUAUUGAAACGAGAACGAGGGCGUCGUGCCUUUAUAAGACUGCGUUAAUGUUUCCGUGGAGUUAUCCCUUCCGGCGUUGUUGUUUAUUGAUUGUUAAACAUGGCUUCAUUUGCAAAGGUGUGUGUGUCCUCAUUGCGUGUGUCUGUAAUGCAUUCUGUUUUCCGAAGAGAGAUGUGAACUUUAAGGCCUCUGCAGUUGACCGCCAAAGUGAUGAUGUGGUUGUCACCACAACACCCGUUCCCCACAACCAGACCACAUCUGCCCAUACUGAAGCUGGUGGUGGUGCAAGUGAAGAUGCUGUGGCUACUACCCCAGCACCUAAUCCACACAACCAGACAACUUCUGCACAAACUGAAGUUACUGAUGGAGCCAGUGAAGAUGCUGUGGACCGCCAAAGUGAUGUGGUUGUCGCCACAACACCCGAUCCCCACAACCGGACCACAUCUGCCCAUACUGAAGCUGGUGGUGGUGCAAGUGAAGAUGCUGUGGCUACUACCCCAGCACCUAAUCCACACAACCAGACAACUUCUGCACAAACUGAAGUUACUGAUGGAGCCAGUGAAGAUGCUGUGGACCGCCAAAGUGAUGAUGUGGUUUCCACCACAACACCCAAUCCCCACAACCAGACCACAUCUGCCCCUACUGAAGCUGGUGGAGAUGGAGCAAGUGAAGAUGAUGAUGAUGCAGCAAGUGAAGAUGCUGUGGCUACCACCCCAACACCAAAUCCCCCAACUACAUCUGACCACACUGCAGCUACCGGUGAUGCAAGUGAGGGUGCUGUGGCUGCCCAAACUGGAACUACUGUAUCCCAUACGACUGAAGUCUGAUUCGACUGCUCCUCUGGUCACAAUGACCUGAGUCACUGUCUGGACUUUUUGCCUCUACAUGUUGACUGCAAUAAAGGACAGAUUUGUUUUUUGAAUCAAAUGUUGUCUUGCCUUUUUCAAAUUGAGGCCUUGUCCUGUUUUGGUGGUGGAGAUGACUAUGAAGCCUCUUUCCUAACGUAUUUCCGGUAGUGGUUUUACUAUAUGCUUCAUGCAACAAGGCCUUUAACGACUCUACAAUUUAAAAGCAUCUAGUUGUGUCAAUUAGUAAAAUGGUUGAACUGGUAGUGAUGCACUAUAAUGGUGAACUGCUUGUGGCAUUUCAAAAAUCU
ensembl:lncRNA